GCAAAUAAUAUUCCAAUUAUAGCUUAUAUUAAAUUAUGGGUUUUAAUUAAUUAGUCCUAAGCUAAUUGGGAGAGGUCAUAUCCAAAUCUUCCAUAGAUCUCUGACUGGGCCCAAUAUGAACUAAUUAUAAAUAAGAGAAUAAAGGAAAUACAAACAAAACAAUUUUCUCAUCAAAAUUUUCGAAAAUUUUGAUUUUUCUCUCUAGAGCUGGUCGAAUUUUUUGAGUCUCCUCCGUGAGAAUUCUGUCUUCUUUAUUCGAGUCCUAAGUGUUCCGGUGAGAUCAGCACACACUGAUAUCGGAGUACGGCUUGGAAAACCAGUCAGAAGAUCUGUGGUCGAGUAUUAAAGAUCGACAAGUGGAGAAGUAGCAAGCCAUCUACAAUUCUUUGGAUAAUCAAGAAGGCAACAUUUGGCGACCAAUCGACGGACCCCAACCCAGUUCCUGAACUGUUUAAAAAGCCUAACUCCAUGGCAGAAGGAAGUUGUUCAUGAACUAGGUUUUGGAGCUUUUGUCUUUCUUGUUCAGGAGGUGUCUAACUGAUUUGAAAUAGAUUUGUAGGGUAUUUUGUCUAGAUUUAUUACGAUGUAAAGCAAUUGGGAUGGUUUGAAUUCAAUUUUCUUUCAACAUUAUUCUC